UUAAACGAAUAAGAGCGUACGGCGGAUGUCUUGGCAUAUAGAGCAGAAGAAGGACGCAGCAAACGGCGAAACGCCUCGGGGAGUCGUAAACAGACUAAGAUCCGGGGAUAUCCGAAUGGGGAAACCCGAUACUCGUAAUGGAGUAUCAUCCAUAAGUGAAUACAUAGCUUAUGAGAAGGAAACCUAGGGAAUUGAAACAUCUUAGUACCUAGAGGAGAAGAAAACAAAAGUGAUUCCGAAAGUAGUGGCGAGCGAAAUCGGAGAAGCCCAAACCAUUCUAAGGAGUGGGGUUGUAGGGGCUACAAGAAAGCGUAUUUACAAGUAAUAGUCGAAUGAGAUUGAAAGCUCAGUCAAAGAAGGUGCAAACCCUGUAGACGAAAUUAUGAGUAAGCGUGAGUAGCUACCUGAGUACAACGAGGCACGUGGAACCUUGUUGGAAUCUACCUGGACCAUCAGGUAAGGCUAAAUACUCCUAUAUGACCGAUAGUGAACCAGUACCAUGAGGGAAAGAUGAAAAGAACCGCGGGAGCGGAGUGAAAUAGAACCUGAAACCGUAUGCUUACAAGAAGUCAGAGCACAUUAACGUGUGAUGGCGUGCCUUUUGUAGAAUGAACCGGCGAGUUAUCCUUACAUGCAAGGUUAAGCAGACAAUGCGGAGCCGAAGCGAAAGCGAAUCUUAAUAGGGUGAAUAGUAUGUAGGGAUAGACCCGAAGCCGUUGUGAUCUAAUCAUGAGCAGGUUGAAGGUUGGGUGAUUCCAACUGGAGGACCGAACCGACCAUCGUUGAAAAGCUGGCGGAUGACUUGUGAUUAGCGGAGAAAUUCCAAUCGAACACGGCGAUAGCUGGUUCUCCCCGAAAUAGCUUUAGGGCUAGCGUUGAAUGAAUCACCAUGGAGGUAGAGCACUGAAUUCUCGCGGGCGGCGUCUAGCCGUACCAAUAGAAAUCAAACUCCGAAUGCCAUGAAUGAAUGUUCAGCAGUCAGACUAUGGGUGAUAAGGUCCGUAGUCAAAAGGGAAACAGCCCAGACCAUCAGAUAAGGUCCCAAAAUUUACACUAAGUGGAAAAGGAAGUGGAGUCGCGCAAACAGCUAGGAGGUUGGCUCAGAAGCAGCCAUCCUUCAAAGAGUGCGUAACAGCUCACUAGUCGAGUAACUCUGCGCCGAAAAUUUACCGGGGCUAAGUGUAAUACCGAAUCUAUGGCUUUGUACGUAUGUACAAGGGGUAGGGGAGCGUUCCAAACAGCAUUGAAGGUAUACCGUAAGGAGUGCUGGAGCGUUUGGAAGUGAGAAUGCCGGUGUGAGUAGCGAGAUGCAGGUGAGAAUCCUGCACACCGAUAGACCAAGGUUUCCAGGGCAAGGCUCGUCCUCCCUGGGUAAGUCGGGACCUAAGGCCAGGCCGAAAGGCGUAGUCGAUGGACAACAGGUUGAUAUUCCUGUACCCGCGUAUCAAAUGAUGGAGUGACAGAAAAGGUUAACUUUACCUCUUAAUGGAUUGAGGGACAAGCGAAGUAGCAGGCACAUAGGCAAAUCCGUGUGCGAAAUGCAAAGCGUGACGUGGAGCGAACGAGCGAUCAAGUAGCGAAGUAAGUGAUACCAGUUCUCAAGAAAAGCUUCUAGUGUUAAUUGAUAAGCGGCCCGUACCAAAACCGACACAGGUGGUCAAGGCGAGUAGCCUGAGGUGAGCGAGAGAACUGUUGCCAAGGAACUCGGCAAAUUGACCCCGUACGUUAGCAAUAAGGGGUGCUCAAACGAGCCACAGUAAAUAGGCCCAAGCAACUGUUUAACUAAAACAUAGCUCUCUGCUAAGUCGCAAGACGAAGUAUAGGGGGUGACACCUGCCCGGUGCUGGAAGGUCAAAAGGAUUAGUUAGUCUAUAAGGCGAAGCUAUGAAUUGAAGCCCCAGUGAACGGCGGCCGUAACUAUAACGGUCCUAAGGUAGCGAAAUUCCUUGUCAGGUAAGUUCUGACCCGCACGAUUUGGGCACUGUCUCGGCAGCAGACUCGGUGAAAUCUUAGUACCAGUGAAGAUGCUGGUUACCCGCAACUAGACGGAAAGACCCCAUGGAGCUUUACUGUAGUCUGCUAUUGAGUUUUGGUUAAAUAUGCACAGGAUAGGUGGGAGCCUUAGAAACUGGUAUUUCGGUAUCAGUGGAGGCACUGUUGGGAUACCACUCUUAUUUAACUGAAAUUCUAACUGUGUUCCGUAAUCCGGAAUCAGGACCGUGGCAGAUGGGCAGUUUGACUGGGGCGGUCGCCUCCUAAAAAGUAACGGAGGCGCGCAAAGGUACUCUCAGAAUGGUUGGAAAUCAUUCGUCGAGCGUAAAUGCAGAAGAGUGCUUGACUGCGAGACAUACAAGUCGAGCAGGGACGAAAGUCGGCAUUAGUGAUCCGGCGGUACAGAAUGGAAUGGCCGUCGCUUAACGGAUAAAAGCUACCCUGGGGAUAACAGGCUGAUCUCCCCCAAGAGUUCACAUCGACGGGGAGGUUUGGCACCUCGAUGUCGGCUCA
rnacentral:rRNA from 1 species